CGACUCUGGUAUUGAUUGGUGCUUGCAUCAUGAUUUACAUUUGAGUGAGUGGCGAACUGGUGAGUAACACGUGGGAAACCUGCCCAGAAGCGGGGGAUAACACCUGGAAACAGAUGCUAAUACCGCAUAACAACUUGGACCGCAUGGUCCGAGUUUGAAAGAUGGCUUCGGCUAUCACUUUUGGAUGGUCCCGCGGCGUAUUAGCUAGAUGGUGGGGUAACGGCUCACCAUGGCAAUGAUACGUAGCCGACCUGAGAGGGUAAUCGGCCACAUUGGGACUGAGACACGGCCCAAACUCCUACGGGAGGCAGCAGUAGGGAAUCUUCCACAAUGGACGAAAGUCUGAUGGAGCAACGCCGCGUGAGUGAAGAAGGGUUUCGGCUCGUAAAACUCUGUUGUUAAAGAAGAACAUAUCUGAGAGUAACUGUUCAGGUAUUGACGGUAUUUAACCAGAAAGCCACGGCUAACUACGUGCCAGCAGCCGCGGUAAUACGUAGGUGGCAAGCGUUGUCCGGAUUUAUUGGGCGUAAAGCGAGCGCAGGCGGUUUUUUAAGUCUGAUGUGAAAGCCUUCGGCUCAACCGAAGAAGUGCAUCGGAAACUGGGAAACUUGAGUGCAGAAGAGGACAGUGGAACUCCAUGUGUAGCGGUGAAAUGCGUAGAUAUAUGGAAGAACACCAGUGGCGAAGGCGGCUGUCUGGUCUGUAACUGACGCUGAGGCUCGAAAGUAUGGGUAGCAAACAGGAUUAGAUACCCUGGUAGUCCAUACCGUAAACGAUGAAUGCUAAGUGUUGGAGGGUUUCCGCCCUUCAGUGCUGCAGCUAACGCAUUAAGCAUUCCGCCUGGGGAGUACGGCCGCAAGGCUGAAACUCAAAGGAAUUGACGGGGGCCCGCACAAGCGGUGGAGCAUGUGGUUUAAUUCGAAGCUACGCGAAGAACCUUACCAGGUCUUGACAUACUAUGCAAAUCUAAGAGAUUAGACGUUCCCUUCGGGGACAUGGAUACAGGUGGUGCAUGGUUGUCGUCAGCUCGUGUCGUGAGAUGUUGGGUUAAGUCCCGCAACGAGCGCAACCCUUAUUAUCAGUUGCCAGCAUUAAGUUGGGCACUCUGGUGAGACUGCCGGUGACAAACCGGAGGAAGGUGGGGAUGACGUCAAAUCAUCAUGCCCCUUAUGACCUGGGCUACACACGUGCUACAAUGGAUGGUACAACGAGUUGCGAACUCGCGAGAGUAAGCUAAUCUCUUAAAGCCAUUCUCAGUUCGGAUUGUAGGCUGCAACUCGCCUACAUGAAGUCGGAAUCGCUAGUAAUCGCGGAUCAGCAUGCCGCGGUGAAUACGUUCCCGGGCCUUGUACACACCGCCCGUCACACCAUGAGAGUUUGUAACACCCAAAGU
rnacentral:rRNA from 2 species